CAGCCGCCGCGGGAAUACGAAGGGUGCAAGCGUUAAUCGGAAUUACUGGGCGUAAAGCGUGCGUAGGCGGUUUGUUAAGUCUGCUGUGAAAUCCCCGGGCUCAACCUGGGAAUGGCAGUGGAUACUGGCGAGCUAGAGUGUGUCAGAGGAUGGUGGAAUUCCCGGUGUAGCGGUGAAAUGCGUAGAGAUCGGGAGGAACAUCAGUGGCGAAGGCGGCCAUCUGGGACAACACUGACGCUGAGGCACGAAAGCGUGGGGAGCAAACAGGAUUAGAUACCCCCGUAGUCCCUGUCUCUUAUAA
rnacentral:rRNA from 1 species